GCAGACCACGUUAGAACCUUGGCUCCUGGAGUGGCAGAACCUCAAGCUUCAAUGGGACCCUCAUUUCAUAAAUGAAGAAACUGAGAUUUAAAGAGGGGAACUACCGAAGGUCACAGAGCGAGUUCGUGGAUGGGGAAACUGAGCCUCACAUGUAUGAAUUGCAGCAUAUAAGCAACAGACUCCGGAUUUGAACUUGUAUAUCUUGUUCCAGACUUCCCAGAUGACCACCAAGGCGGAAGCGAUGGUGAUGCCAAGGCGGAAGGGAUGGUGAUGCCCAGGCAGAAGGGAGCUCGGCUGGCCCAGGCUUUUCCUGUAGGCAUAGCGGGCUCCAGGUUCAGCCUUCCCGGACGGUAAUGUUGCUUUCUGAAGAGCUACUUUCCCGCCAACUCAUCUCUGGACUUCUCUGGGGCCCAACUCUGAUUUCCUGCCUGCAGGAGGUCCCCUCUGACUUCCGAUAGCAGAUGACCCUUCUGACUCACAGUUCUACUGCUGGGAAAUGCCUCCAGAGCUGCUGCCCACCCCCUCUGCAUCCCUCCAGGUCACUGGGUGUCGAGUCAGGGGAAGCAGGGAUGCACAUGGGUGGGAAACUCAGGCCUCCUAAAUGUCAGAGCCUCAGGACUUUGGCUACUCAGAAGUAGCUCCCUCCUGGGCCACCAGGAAGCAGCAGGGCAGCCAGCAUCCUGACGUCACUCCUGGACUCUGCUGCUCAGAGGCUAGACAGAGAACCAAGGUGGGAAAGAGGCUUAAACCACAGCGUGGGGAGAUUUAGGUUAGGUGGGUCAGAGGAAGUUUAGGACAAGACUUGUCCUUUUCGGUCUCUGUCCAGCUUCAGCACAGCCACUGCUUCCUCUCUUUGGUUUUUCCCAUCCCCCUCUCUCCCACCACCUCUAUCCCCUUCCAGCUUUUCUUCUUUCUUUCCCUCCUUCCCAGACCCCAAAGUUUCUCAGGAUUAGCUACCCAUGUGCAUAUCUCCCCCACCCCCAAAUCUUUCCUCACUGUCUCACAGAAACAGGCAAACACACACACAUGCACACAACCAUGAGUGGCCCUGAGAGUUCCCUGAUUGGACUGAGGUUGGAGCCCCAGCUCUUGUCCUGAGCUGAGGCCCUUCCCCCAGGUAUCUUGGGGCUUCUUCCAUCAUUUCUCUUGACAGGAGCUGUGGGCGUCUGGGCAGAUGGGAACCUGGGGGAGGUGUGGGGAGCCCUCUCUGAGGCAGGAAGCUCCCACACUACUGUAGUUAAAAUACUCCGGCAGCAACUUGGGGCAGCCAUCUGGGAUGCCCAGAUCUCCCAGGACACUCAGCUCUCAACAACAACCCUAUAGGAACAAAUUAAAAACCUAAGAGAUAGUUGUAGGCCCUGGAAAUGUCUCCCAAAAGUGGCCGGAACUUGAGUUCUGUUUCCUUUUAUCUUCUUCAGGGUUAGCAUUGGGCAUUGGCAUUUACAAAAACUCUCUAAGCAUUAAGCAAAAGUUAUAGGAGUGGAAGAUACAGCAUUCUGGAUCUCCAGUCCUAAUACCCAGCCACACCCCAGCAGCUAUGCAUGGUUCCAUGGGAGAACAGGCAUAGCCCAUCCUGCUGGCAUAUAGUCCAGCCACAUCUUCCAAUGCCCACCUGGAGACUGAGCCCAGUUCUGCCCAGCAACAGGAGCUCAGAGCUCUAGAGAGCCUCUCCUGGGGUGCAGACUCAGGAGAUCUUAGCUCAGGAGCAGACUUAGCCUGACUUCCUCUUUUAUAGGAGGAGACAGACUUAGUUACAGAGGAAACCAGAGUUGUUAUAAAUAGCAAGGAAGGGAGAAAACUGCUAUGGAUUACAAACACACCAUCAAUCUUAAACUAUUUUUAGUUUCAAAUAAUAAUGAGAGUCUAAUUAAUGCUCUGUAUAACUUCAAAUGUGGGAUCUUUAUCUACCUUUCUACUUUGUGAUGCUUUCUAAUACAGUAUGAGGGCCAAAGGCAGGAAGAGCUAUGGGCAAUUCUCAAUGUUACCAAAUCCUAGAUGUGGAAAGAACCUGAGAAAUUUAGUCUAGCCCUUUCAUUUUCAGUGAAGAAACUGAGGCCCAGAGAGGUCAAAGGACUUGUCCAAAGUUGCACAGUAAGAUAGGGACUGAGCAGUGACUAAAAACCUAGUCCUUGUACUCCAGAAGCAGGGCAGUUCCACAACAGCACAAUAGAACCCAAAGGCUAAACAUCUAUGGUUGGGCUGUUGGUGAGUUUAUAGCCUGGAUAAAAGUUAGGUCUGGGCCAGGUGUGGAGGCUCACGCCUGUAAUCCCAGCACUUUGGGAGGCUGAGGUGGGUGGAUCGCUUGAGGCCAGGAGUUCGAGACCAACCUGGCCAACAUGGCAAAACCUCACCUCUACUAAAAAAUACAAAACUUAGCCAGAUGUGAUGGCACAUGCCUGUAAUCCCAGCUACUCAGGAGGCUGAGGCACAAGAAUUGGUUGAACCCAGGAGGUGGAGAUUUCAGUGAGCUGAGAUCGCACCGCUGUACUCCAACCUGGGGAACAAAGCAAGACUCUGUCUCAAACAAACAAACAAACAAAAAAAGUCUGAAUGAAAUGGCAAAAGACAGCCCAGAAGCUGAAGUGUGGUCUUCUGUGUCCCAGAGUUUUGGGUUCAAAUCCCAGCCCUGCAACUGACUAGCUAUGUAACCCUGGGCCGGUGUGUAACUACUCCAAGCAUCAGCUCCCACAUCUCAAAAUGAGGAUAAUCAUACUCACUUCAUUACAGGACUAUUAUGAGGUUUAAAUGAGGUAACGUGGGUCAAGCAUCCAGCACAGUGCUCAGCAAAAAAUGGAUGUUAAUUUCCUUCACAUUUCUCUUGGAUUCUCUAUCCCUUCUUCAAUGGACUCCUAUCCUCUAACUGGACAGAAGGGCAGAUUUGUCAUAAAGCAGUCACAUGAGGGAUAAGAAGUCUCACAUGAGUGUGAAUGAAGCUGGGGGUGAGCGGGGGAUAGUUUAUGGCAAUGAAGUUUGCCUGGCGCAAGUGGUCAGUGUCAGAUCCAGAGGGUGGGAGAAGACAGAUUUGCGGAAAAUUAUCCAUCCUCUGCUAACCACUCAGUGACGGGCCUCGGGGUCCGGGGUCAGUGUUUGCAGGGGAGGAGGGAGGCUGAGCAUGCUGGGUCCUCAUUGUACACAAAUACCCCGGGCCUCAACCUCACCCGUGUGCCACACUGUGCCAAGGGUGUUACAUAACAUUUCUCUUUUAAUCCUCACAACAAUCUAUGAGGCAAAUACUGUUCUCGUCCCCAUUUUGCAGAAGAGGAAAUGAGCUCAAAGGUCACUUGGCUAGUGUAGUAGUCAUUAGUGCUGUCUCCAAAUAUUUCCGGCUCUCUGCCUUCUGGCACAAGGUAGGACUGCAUGUUCUCACUCUUCUUUGAUGCUAGCUGUGGACAUGUGAACAACUUUAACCAAUAAAACGUGGCAGAACUGAUGUGCGUUAGCUCUAGCGGAAGCAUUAAGACUCUGGCACCCUCACACCUAUGUUGUUCAUAGAGUGUAAAUGAGAAAUAAACUUUCAUUGUGUUAAACCACUGAA